rnacentral:lncRNA from 1 species
GGUUGUCACUUUAAAACCAGCCUCUAUCCUAUUUAGCCAAAGAAUGAUAAUCCCUUAGAAGCCAGCACAUCAAAAUUGAGCUGCAAGAGGCAUUAUACUAAAAGAGCAAGGCUGGUUCUACACAGGGCAAGCAAAACAGCCUGGCUGAAUAUUGGGCGUGCUUACUAGGAGCAGCAAGACAAAAGGAAGCUGUGGCUUUUAGGAAUUGUUGCCAGUGUGACUUUAUAUAUCAGCGGAGAAGGAACACAAAUAAUGUCUAGAGGGUCAGGACAAGUCAGUAUUAAACAGAU